rnacentral:lncRNA from 1 species
CAGGUGGCAGGUUUCAAUGCCCAGCACGGGUGGUAGCAGGUGGACUCGGUCACCCUGAUAGGCAGGCAGAGAGAGGAAGGGUCAUUCUCAAGGUGUUAAAACUGACCACCACACAAGGAAGGGAAGGCCCCUGGCUCCUCUUCUGCCGGAUGUUUCUAGAAUCACAGAGAAGUGUAUUUUGUGGGGAGCUGGGCAGAAGCCAUUAGGGACGCAUGUUGGAUCUGAAGACAGAGCUUCAAGGUGAUGUAGGCAGGCAGAUAGGAUAAAAUCGGUCAGAUCUGUGAGCUGGAAGACCACGCCUUCACCACGCCCCUCUGUGACCUCAUGCCCCUACCUGACCCCACCUGUACGCCCACCUGCCGAUCAGGCUAUGUAACCCCGCCCCUUUGGAGUGGAUAAAAGGCCUGGGACGUGUGGUCCCCUCCAUUAUUGCCCUUGUUGCUCCGUGCCUUUGGGCUGCCCGCGCCCUGCUUUCCUGCCUGCACGCUUGUUCCACGUGGCUCGCUCCUGGCCUGCUCUCUGCUUGGGCUGUCAAACAAAAGCCACCCUGGACUCAGGCUCCUAAGGCGGCUGCCGCCUGCAGGAAGCAGGGCCUUGCCUUGGGAAUGCAUAACUUACAGAGUGAAGCUCAAAAGAAGGCAACAGAAACUACUAAAGCACACCUCGCAAACGGUCUACCUUGUGCUUCCUGCGUAUCGGGGGUCAAAGAUCUCUGCUUCACACUACCCUGACUGCUUUUGCCCCAGAAGGCUUACCAGCGACGCUGGAGACACCAGGUAGGGUGCCCGUGUCCCACAUCGGGGUACCUGGCGUUGACUCUCCCUAGCUCUCCUGACUCCAGCUUCCUGCUAAUGGACCUGGCAGGCAGCAGUGAGGGCCCAUGAGUUGGGUCCCUGCCAUCCGCAUGGGAGACUUGGAUUAAGUUCCUGGCUCCUGGUCUUGGCCCGACCCAGCCCCAGCAUUUGAGGAGUGAACCACCGUAUGGGAACUCUCCCUUUCUCUGGGAAAGGAAGGAAGGCAGGAAAUCCAAAGUGACAUGAUUUUGGGGCUACCAAUCCAUUAUCAGGUAUGGGAAGAAUCAUUUGAUUUUCUAUCAGGGAUGUUAAAUUCUUAUUGCAACAAAUUCUGUACCCCACAUGGCUGUCUGGGAUGAAGUUAUGGUUGAUUUUAGUGUGUGAGAUUAUUUUCUUGUUGCAAGAUUAGGGCUUUCUUCCACCAGAGCUCGGCUGUGAUACACAGCAGUGGAAUUGGAAGCCCCACUGAAUUUUCUGGAAAGAGAGGUCCCCAGGGACAAAGCAGAGAGGGUCAUUCAUGUGAGGUCACAGGUCAGACUCUAGUGUUCUGGGGUGUGGGUGGGAAUGGGGUACUGAGAGGAAGGCAGAGCAGACCGUACCCGACUGGUCCUCUCUGAUGAGUUUUCUGGACUGGUCUGCUGAGAGGGAGAACAUACUAGCACUGGGCUUUGAAGGCUUCCUUAGCAGGUAGCCUCU